AGGACGAACGCUGGCGGCGUGCUUAACACAUGCAAGUCGAGCGGAAAGGCCCUUCGGGGUACUCGAGCGGCGAACGGGUGAGUAACACGUGAGUAAUCUGCCCCUAGCUCUGGGAUAGCUCCGGGAAACCGGGAUUAAUACCAGAUACGACCACUUUAGACAUCUGUUGUGGUGGAAAGAAUUUUGGCUAGGGAUGAGCUCGCGGCCUAUCAGCUUGUUGGUGAGGUAACGGCUCACCAAGGCGACGACGGGUAGCCGGCCUGAGAGGGCGACCGGCCACACUGGGACUGAGACACGGCCCAGACUCCUACGGGAGGCAGCAGUGGGGAAUAUUGCGCAAUGGGGGAAACCCUGACGCAGCAACGCCGCGUGGAGGAUGAAGCCCCUUGGGGCGUAAACUCCUUUCGAUCGGGAAGAUAAUGACGGUACCGGAAGAAGAAGCCCGGCUAACUUCGUGCCAGCAGCCGC
rnacentral:rRNA from 1 species